rnacentral:rRNA from 1 species
AACGAACGCUAGCGGCAUGCCUCAAACAUGCAAGUCGAACGAGAAAGUACCUUCGGGUGCGAGUAAAGUGGCGCACGGGUGCGUAACACGUAGCUAACGUACCCCCUUGCUGUGGAUAACUCCGGGAAACCGGAGCUAAUACAGAAUAAUCUACUAAGAACUUCGGUUUUUAGUGGUAAAGCCUUCGGGCGCGAGGGGAUCGGGCUGCGGCCUAUUAGCUUGUUGGUGGGGUAAUGGCCUACCAAGGCUGCGAUAGGUAGCUGGUCUGAGAGGAUGAUCAGCCACACUGGAACUGAAACACGGUCCAGACACCCACGGGUGGCAGCAGUUGGGAAUAUUGGACAAUGGGGGAAACCCUGAUCCAGCAAUGCCGCGUGAGUGAUGAAGGCCUUAGGGUCGUAAAGCUCUUUCAGCGGGGAAGAAGGGAAACUUGACGGUACCCGCAGAAGAAGCACCGGCUAACUCCG